AGAAUACUAAGGACCUAGGGGCAAUCUUGCCAGACUUCUUCUGCAGGCAUCUUUAAUUUUCUUGUAUCAUAAAUUUUUAUCUUACAUUCUAAACAAAGGGGAAUCACUGAGCUGGUGAGUAAGCCUAACCAUUUGCCCGACACCAUUGCAGAAACUGGUUAUUUUACCAAGGUUUUGACUGGAAUGGUGUGCUUCCCUUUAAGGAAGAAAACUUGACUUUUGGAGCUAAUAAAAGCCCCUUGGGAAAACUGCUCUCUUACCUUGUCUACACAGUCUCUGGACAGAGUUCCUGACCUGUGUAUCCAGAAUGAGUGAUCCUUGAAAAUCUCAAAUCAGAUAAUGUCCUUCAGCUACCUAAAACCUGUCAACGAUGACCAGUUGUACUUCAAGUAAAAUCCAAAUCCUCUCAAGGUACCAAGGGGAGAAGGAAGAAACAAUACAAGAAUUGGCCCCAGGAAAUAUUUAUUCUAAAUCCAGCACAUGCAAAACCCUGAGAUAGACAUCAAGGACAAAAAUUGUCACUGGGAGGUGGGAAGCCCUGGAGGAAAAGCACUAGUCUUGGUGUCAGGAGACCUAUGCUUGUGUUUUCAUGCUGACAGGAUGUGUGGAUUUUGACAAGUAUCUUCAUCUUCUGAACCUAUUUCCUCAUCUAUAAAAGGUCACUAACACCCAUUUUGAAAAACCACAUGUAGGUUAGAAGGAUUCAAUAUAUGUGAAAGAGUUCUUCAAACUCCUAAGCACUUGCUGUGCUGAUGGUAAAGGUGAUAAUGAGGAGAAAGGAGUGUCUGCUAUGGGCAAACUACUGUCCUAAAACUUUUAAAUACAUUGUUAAUUAACCUUCAUCAAUAAGUCUAUGAAUUAGAUUCUAUCAUAAUCUCAAUUUUACAGAUGAGGUUCAGAGAGAUGAAAAGUUUUGCCCAAUGUCACACAGUCAGUUUAAUGGUGGAACAGAAAUUUUAACCCAAAUCUAUCUGGCUCCAUAGUUAACACUCUUAACUACCAUAUUAUAUGGCCAGUCUAACUCCCUUAUCUUUGGGAAAUACUUUUAUUUACAGGUCACUGACACAGAGUUACAGAUCCUGGGUACAGCCUGGGUCUGUAACUUAUUCAAUGUAUAAUGCUGUGUAAGUCUUAACCUCUCUGUGCCUCAUCUGUUAAAUGAAGGAGUUGAACUCUAGGAUCUCUCAAGUUCAUUCCCUUUGAGUUCAUCUAACAUUAUAUGGUCUUCGUUCUUGUUGGUACAAUACUUUAUUAGGUAAUUGUUUAUUAGAUAAUUAACAGUCCAAGUCACCUUGGCUAUCUGCCAAAUGAAUAGAAGCACACUACAGAUAUUAGAGGGGGUUGAAGGGAAGAGAUUUCCAAGGGCUUUGGCAGGUGGAGAAGGCUUUUUGUAGAAGAUAGGCCUGAACCAUUUCACCAUUAAAAGCACUUUUAUUAUUUUUCUCCAUAGUCACUAUAUUUACAAAGAUUUUAUUUUUACUUAACAUUGUGGCAUGGUCUGGCAAAAGAAAGCAUCUGCAUCCCCUCCAGGAAAGAAGAGAAAUCCUGUAAGCCCUAGAGAGAGUCAAGCAGGAAGACAAAAUUAGUGGCUGCAUGCUUACUGCAGACCAGCAUGGUAUAAGAACAGUAUUUUGUCAUCAGCUGUGAGUCAGCUAAAAGUUGAAGCCAAAUGUUCAAGCAUUGUUAGGAGUUGAGUCUUUUCUUUGAUGAAGCAUAUGGGAGGCUCAUUCAUCCACACUUUCCUUGCCUCCACAUCCUUGCCAUUAUGGGAAUGGCAUAUAAGCCAGUGGUUCUCAACCAGAAGUGACUUUGUCCCUUAUGAACUACAGGCGAUAUCUGAAGACAGACUAAAUGCCAUGACUUGGCUGGGGAGGAAGUGGGAGCUUGCUACUGAUAUCUAGUGGGAAGAGGCCAGGAAUACUUAGGGCAGGCUCCCCACCCUCCAUCCCCAGCAACAGAGAAUUAUCUGGUCCAAAAUUUCAAUAGUGCUGAGGCUGAAAAACUCUGAUACAAGGGAACAGCAGUUAC
rnacentral:lncRNA from 1 species